rnacentral:rRNA from 1 species
AGCGAACGCUGGCGGCAGGCUUAACACAUGCAAGUCGAGCGGGCGUAGCAAUACGUCAGCGGCAGACGGGUGAGUAACGCGUGGGAACGUACCUUUUGGUUCGGAACAACACAGGGAAACUUGUGCUAAUACCGGAUAAGCCCUUACGGGGAAAGAUUUAUCGCCGAAAGAUCGGCCCGCGUCUGAUUAGCUAGUUGGUGAGGUAACGGCUCA